ensembl:ncRNA F41E7.18 ncRNA
CUCUGUGUAUUGGUGUCUUUUUGUUUGUGGAAAUGCAUCAAGCUGAUUGCAGUGAAAAUUGAAAAGAUGUCAUAGUUAAGGAAACAGAUAGAAAUAGGAAAGAACACUCCAAACAUCCUAACUUUUUUGUAUCCUUUU